rnacentral:rRNA from 1 species
GUUGUUCGGAAUUACUGGGCGUAAAGGGUUCGUAGGUGGCUUGCUAAGUCAGACGUGAAAUCCCUCAGCUUAACUGGGGAACUGCGUCUGAGACUGGUGAGCUUGAGUGCAGGAGAGGAACGCGGAAUUCCAGGUGUAGCGGUGAAAUGCGUAGAUAUCUGGAGGAACACCGGUGGCGAAGGCGGCAUCCUGGACCGGCAUUGACGCUGAGGCGCGAAAGCCAGGGGAGCAAACGGG